rnacentral:rRNA from 1 species
UACGGGAGGCAGCAGUGGGGAAUAUUGCACAAUGGGCGCAAGCCUGAUGCAGCCAUGCCGCGUGUAUGAAGAAGGCCUUCGGGUUGUAAAGUACUUUUCAGUCGUGAGGAAGGUGUUAAGGUUAAUAACCUUAGCAAUUGACGUUAGCGACAGAAGAAGCACCGGCUAACUCCGUGCCAGCAGCCGCGGUAAUACGGAGGGUGCGAGCGUUAAUCGGAAUUACUGGGCGUAAAGGGCACGCAGGCGGUUAAUUAAGUUGGAUGUGAAAUCCCCGGGCUUAACCUGGGAAUGGCAUUCAAGACUGGUUAGCUAGAGUCUUGUAGAGGGGGUAGAAUUCCAUGUGUAGCGGUGAAAUGCGUAGAGAUGUGGAGGAAUACCGGUGGCGAAGGCGGCCCCUGGACAAAGGACUGACGCUCAUGUGCGAAAGCGUGGGGAGCAAAC